rnacentral:rRNA from 1 species
GUCUCAGUUCGGAUUGGAGUCUGCAACCCGACUCCAUGAAGCUGGAUUCGCUAGUAAUCGCGCAUCAGCCACGGCGCGGUGAAUACGUUCCCGGGCCUUGUACACACCGCCCGUCAAGCCAUGGAAGCCGGGGGGUGCCUGAAGUGCGCUGCCGCAAGGAGCGCCCUAGGGUAAAACCGGUGACUGGGGCUAAGUCGUAACAAGGUAGC